rnacentral:tRNA from 1 species
GGCUCGGUAGCUUAGUUGGUAAAGCGCUCAAGAGCAUACAAGAGUCCUGGGUUCAAAUCCCAGCCGAGCAC